rnacentral:rRNA from 1 species
GAUGAACGCUGGCGGCGUGCUUAACACAUGCAAGUCGAACGGAAAGGCUCCUGCUUGCAGGGGUACUCGAGUGGCGAACGGGUGAGUAACACGUGGGUGAUCUGCCCUGCACUUCGGGAUAAGCCUGGGAAACUGGGUCUAAUACCGGAUAGGACCACAUUUUGGAUGGUGUGGUGGAAAGUUUUUCGGUGUGGGAUGAGCUCGCGGCCUAUCAGCUUGUUGGUGGGGUAAUGGCCUACCAAGGCGUCGACGGGUAGCCGGCCUGAGAGGGUGUACGGCCACAUUGGGACUGAGAUACGGCCCAGACUCCUACGGGAGGCAGCAGUGGGGAAUAUUGCACAAUGGGCGCAAGCCUGAUGCAGCGACGCCGCGUGGGGGAUGACGGCCUUCGGGUUGUAAACUCCUUUCGCUAGGGACGAAGCGCAAGUGACGUUACCUGGAGAAGAAGCACCGGCUAACUACGUG